rnacentral:rRNA from 1 species
UCAGACAGGACACCCCGCUGACAAUUAACACCCGUGAACAAAAAGUAGUAACUUAACAAGAAAACCCUACUACACCCUAUGUUGACCUAACACCAGAGCACUACAAGAAAGAUUUAAAGAAAGAGAAGGAACUCGGCAAAUAAUAACCUCGCCUGUUUACCAAAAACAUCGCCUCUUGAAUAAUAUAAGAGGUCCAGCCUGCCCAGUGACUCUGUUCAACGGCCGCGGUAUCCUAACCGUGCGAAGGUAGCGUAAUCACUUGUUCUUUAAAUGAGGACUAGUAUGAACGGCACCACGAAGGUUAUGCUGUCUCCUCUUUCCAAUCAGUGAAACUAAUCUCCCCGUGAAGAAGCGAGGAUAUACGUAUAAGACGAGAAGACCCUAUGGAGCUUUAAACCACACAACACCUGCUCUAACUUAAUUAACUUUCAGAAAACCCCCAUUUACCCAUGCAGGAUGAUUGUCAGUUUUAGGUUGGGGUGACCGCGGAGCACAAAAUAACCUCCACAUUGAAAGGAGCCCACUCCUUAGCUAAGAGCCACACCUCCACGCAUCAACAAA